GGAUUAGAUACCCUGGUAGUCCACGCCGUAAACGAUGUCUACUAGCCGUUGGGGUCCUUGAGACUUUAGUGGCGCAGCUAACGCACUAAGUAGACCGCCUGGGGAGUACGGUCGCAAGAUUAAAACUCAAAUGAAUUGACGGGGGCCCGCACAAGCGGUGGAGCAUGUGGUUUAAUUCGAAGCAACGCGAAGAACCUUACCUACACUUGACAUCCAGAGAACUUGCUAGAGAUAGCUUGGUGCCUUCGGGAGCUCUGAGACAGGUGCUGCAUGGCUGUCGUCAGCUCGUGCCG
rnacentral:rRNA from 1 species